rnacentral:rRNA from 1 species
UACGGAGGGAGCUAGCGUUGUUCGGAAUUACUGGGCGUAAAGCGCACGUAGGCGGCUUUGUAAGUUAGAGGUGAAAGCCCGGGGCUCAACCCCGGAAUUGCCUUUAAGACUGCAUCGCUUGAAUCCGGGAGAGGUGAGUGGAAUUCCGAGUGUAGAGGUGAAAUUCGUAGAUAUUCGGAAGAACACCAGUGGCGAAGGCGGCUCACUGGACCAUUACUGACGCUGAUGCACGAAAGCUAGGGGAGCAAACAGG